rnacentral:rRNA from 1 species
CCCUUAGAUGUCCUGGGCCGCACGCGCGCUACACUGAGUGUCUGAGAUACGAGUCUGCCUGGUCCGGCAAGGACUAGGUAAUCGCUAAAAGACACAUCAUGCUUGGGAUAGAUUAUUGCAAAUAUUAAUCUUGAACGAGGAAUUCCUAGUAAGCGCAAGUCAACAGCUUGCGUUGAUUACGUCCCUGCCCUUUGUACACACCGCCCGUCGCUACUACUGAUUGGAUGUUUAAGCGAGGUUCUCGAACUGCUAGCGACUUAGCUUCGGUGAGGUCGCAGUGUGGGAAGUGAACCUAGCUUUGGUGUCUAGAGGAAGUAAAAGUCGUAACA